UUAAAUUUCAAUAUCAUACUACACACAAUGAUAUUGUGGUAUUUUGUUUUGCUCAUGAAAUAUUACCAAAAUUUAUAUUAUCUUAACUGAUUAAUAUGUUUGGUAUUAUUGUAUGAAAAAUACUACUCUAGCUCCUUCAUGCUAAGGGGCCUUUUGAAUUGCAGAAUAUCUUUCCAGUUCGAGUAAUUCAUAUGAAGAUUUGAUUUUUAAGAGGUUAUUGGGAAUACGUUUACUUUCAUUCAAUCGCGACUUUAUUUCUAAGUGUGCUAUUCAUUAACUCAAUAAAAAUUUCGCAACCUGUGUUUUUUCUUCAUAUUUUGUAUGUUGGUUCUCUCUGGGCUACCCUGUUGUAUAUUUGAAAAAUAAACUGUUUACUGUACACAUUACUCCUUGUUAUACAUUAGGAUGUUUUUCUUUGUGUAAAUUAUUUUGUUGCUGUAUCCGAUGUACUAACAGUUUGGUAUUAUUACUAUCGAAUAAUGUUUUAAAAACAAAAUCAUUUCAUUAAUUAUUAUUUACAUUGUGAUGUACAUGCAUUGGCAGACCAGCUUGGCAUAUUUUAACGAAACCUCCAGUCGUUUAGUCAAUUGAAUCUAUACCAACAAAUUGGUCUCCAAUUGACAAGUAGGAAGUUCGUAAAUUUGAUUUUCUUCAUCAUUUCGGACGGAGAUUAUGUCUGACCAUUCUGUGAUAUUGUUUUCUUCUUCCUCGGCUUGAAGCUCCGAUAUAAAAUUCUCAAUUAGAUUUUUCCAAGGUUGUGUAUUUAGUGUCUUUUCUGCUUCACCUUCUCUAUUCGUCAAAUUUGUUGAGUCUUCUGUUUCGCAUUUGGCGUCAUCGAGAAAUUUUAUGGCAAUGUCCCUAAUAGCAGUACUCGUAGUUCGUUGCUUUCUAAUGUUCUCCUUUAAGUUCUUUUUCCUUGUUUUUUGCGACUCUCGAGAUGUGCAGGCUUCACCCAUUUCUAGCAGAUGAAUCAUCUCUUCUUGAAAAAAUUGUGAAAGUUUUUCCUGUACUUGGUAACUUGUUUCCUUUUUAGGACUUUUGGGAUCUUCUUCGUUUAUGCUAACAUACUUUUCAAUGCUUAUGGCUUCCGGGGCAGCAAAAGCGUCAUCAUAAUUCGUGCCAUUUUGAUCUAAUCCAGAAUCGUAGAGAACGGAUGGACCCUCAUUUUCGCGCAAUUCAUGAAUAAACUCAUUCUUGUCAUAACCAAUUUCUUUGUAUAGUUCCCUAAUUUUUGAAGUCCUUUUAGUCUUGGAGUAAAGCUCUGAAACAUCAUUUUCUCUGUGCCUUUCCUUUGCGAAAUUGCCAAAGUCAACAUUGGGAGCAGUUCUUGAGCUAAGAUAUUUAUGGGAAGCUUUUUUAGACUUCCUCUUUUUGCUAAUAGGUUUCUGGGUAUUAUCUUCAUUUUUUAAACGUGCGAUUCUAUGUUUGGAGUCAUUGGAACAUAAUGUCUCAUUGCUUUCUUUUGUGGUGGUCAUUUCGAGACUUUUAAGGCUAUAUUCUUUAGUGCCUUUCUUUAUUUCUUGUAAAUUUGAUGCGAUGUCUAGUUGAAUAAAUCCAGGCUGAAAGGUUUGCAGUACGCCAUCCUCGCAAAAUGUUUUGAAGAGUUGAGCGCAUAAAAACGUUUUUUCUAUCGCUUUAUCGGAUUUUUCGCAUAUUGUUUUUCUAAUGAGUUCUUGCAUAUUCGUUUCAUAAAACCUAUAACGAUUUGGAUUUGAUGUAAAAUUUACUAUUUCUGCGUCCGGUGUGCAUGUCAAUUUGAUGCAACGGAUUUUUCCAUUUUUCCAAAAAAUUCUUAGGUUGUUUCCAAUAGUAGUUAGAUUGCUGCUGAAUGAUGGAAGGUUUUCAACAGCAUUCUUAAUCUCGAAAUGGCGUGAAUUAAAAUACUUGGUCGUACCUUUGCAUUUUGUGGUUAUUUUAUCUUUUAUACGAUGGGAUUUUAGCCUAUAAUCAUAGUGUUUAUCGUUGGCUGUAACUUUGUAUUCAUCUGCAAAUAAAUCCAACGCAUAAUGAAAACAGUAAAGCAGCUUUCUAAUUAGCGUCUUUAUUAACUUGAGCAGACUGUAAACUGUUUUGAAAGAGAAUAGCACACAGAAUUUUAGAGAAUUCAUCGAAAACUUAGAACACAUAAAGAAAAAACUAAGUAUUUCUUGGCUAUAUAAAAUCAAGAACAUAAUUAGAAGACAAACAUGAA